rnacentral:lncRNA from 1 species
GCACAGGGUACCUUCUCCAGGACUGCAGCAGCAUGGCAGCAUAGCCAAUGGCACAGGUUGGGCAUCUCAAUCUUGUCCUGGGUCAGGCCUUAGCAGCUGUGGAACCUUAGUGCACUCACCCUCCUGGGGCCAGGUUGCACGCACAAGCUGGAGACUCCAACCUCACGGAGCUGCCCCUCCAGUGGAAAGAGGCAGGAGCCACACCACCCACAGGACGGGGAUGGAAUGUACAGCACCUGACAUGAAGACUGGGCUGUCACAUUUACACAUCAGGUAAGUCUAUCUGCUCGGGCUGAACGGUGUCCACCUAGAGAAAGCAGAAUCUUUUCUGUACUUCCACCCAAAGAGAGUGCCUUUCUCUAAGUUGCAAAAAGACUCUCUCUAAUACAGAGACCUGAAUGUUAGAAAGAGAUUUCUUUCUUUCUUUCUUUUUUUUUUUUUUUUGAUAGAGCAUUAAAUCCCUUCCAACUUGAAUAGCCUAUGAGUAGACAGCCGCAUGUUACAGAGAACACAGACUCUGAGGUUAGACAGGUAGGGUCUGGGGCCUGGUUCUGGAACUUAGGAGCUGCAUCGACUGAGGACUUGCCUAAACACCCUGAACCUCAAUUUCUUCAUCUGUAAAGAAGAAGAAUCCCUAUUGCUAUGGGAAAAAUUAUGUGCCUCCAAAAUUCAUAUGUUGAAGUCCUAAUCCCCAGGACCUCAGAAUAGGAGUCUAUUUAGAGAUAGGGUAUUUAUAGAGAUAACCAAAUUAAAUGGUAUUAUUAGAUUGAAUCCUACUUCAAUAUAACUGGCAUCCUUAUAAAAAGGGGAAGUUUGGGCACAGAGAGACACACACAGAGGGAAGGCAUUGUGAAGACAGGGAGAAGAUGCCACACAACUGGAGUGAUGCAGCCCCAAGCCAGGGCACACCCAGGGUCCCCGGUAAAUGCCAGAAGCUGGAGGCAGCCAGGGGGAUUCUGCCCUGGAGCCUUCGCAGAGGGCACGGCUCCGCCCACACUUAGAUUUCAGAGUUGUAGCCUCCAGAGCUUUAGGCAAACACAGUUUGGUUAUUAUAUGCCACACGAUUUGUG